GGCCAGCAGGGCGGGGGAGUUAGGCAAACAGAAGAGAGAAGGGGUGGGGAGAAGAAUCAAAGUGGGUUAAAAAAAAAAGAAGAAGAAGAAGAAGAAGGUUAAAAAAGUUAUUCCCCGGCAAAAGUUCAAGCACCAACAGAAGGAGGCUUGUUCCAGCUUUAAAAUGUCUUCAAGAAAGCCGUUCCCCUCUCUGCACUCCUGUGGAUUCUCGGGAGUGACUAGAAUUUCAGGAGAGUGAUGUCUUGCAGAUGUAUUAGAGGGCAGGAUUCUCACUUUACUUUUCGUAAGGACAAAAAAAAAAUAAGAAAUAAAGAAGUAGGACUUGAAGAGUCAGCAGAGGGCGGCGGGUCCCCCCUUCCCUUUUCUCUCUCCCCUCUCUGCGUUGAGUUCCUCUCCCCUUCUCAGUCGGAUCAAGAAGCUCUCUGGCACUUCAAAAGGCACAGACUGGCAUGGAGAGGAGGCUUUGUAGGGAAUACAAGAAAAUUGGAGACCCCUGGGAGGGCAGAUCUCCACUUAAUAGGAGCCUGUAAUUACGUGGCAAAGCCUUUGUGCGGCGCCUGACGUUUUACAGACCCCCUUUCUCCAUCACAACCUCCUUCCUCCUUUCCCUGGGACCGAAAAAACAGCCUGAUUAAGAAAACCCCCUUUGAGAGAAAGAGAGAGGGAGGGAGCAAGAGAGAGGGAGGGAGGGGGAAGGGAGGAAGGAGGGUGAGAGAGGGAGGGAAGCAGAGAGAGCCCCUUUGGAUUUUUAAAAUAAAGGUCUAAUUAUCAUUCCCUUGCAGUAGUAUCACAGAGAGAAAGGAACCAAGACCCACAGUCACUUUAAACGGGCUGAUUAUUUUGUUUGGGUAUUAACUCCUCCGGAUUUGUUUGAGAUCCUGUUGGAAAAUCUCAUUUGCAUGCUUUGAUAACAGCUGAGGGCAAACUUGUUGGGGGGGGGGAGAAUGCACAUCUAUAACAAUCAAACCUUCUUCUGCUGCCCCGCCCCCGGCAACUUUUCCUGCAGAUUUGUUUUGGCGAAGAGCACAGGGAGAGACUGAGACAGAAAAGCAAAAGAGCAAGCCCAUUAAAGCUCGUUUGGCUCUGUAGAGACAGCCUAUUAAAUAAUGUAAUAAAAUAACAAGAGCGAUAAUAACUGGAGGCGCUCUACGUUCUAAAGGCAGCUUGGAGAGAUCCAGAAGUCUUCAGCUUCGAAUGGAUUCGAGACUUUCGCUGCCACCAGAAAUCUCCAGGCUUCGGACCGCAGAAAACUUACAUACUUAUUAAACAGAAGGAAAACCCGUCCUGGUCGUUCCCCUACCCUUCCAACGGGUGAAAUUUCUUAGGUGUGGCCGAGGUCGCUUUCCCAGGAGACGAAGGUUAGCACAGAGGCUGUCCAAAUUCGGAGCAGACAGGAGCACCCUGGCUGAGAGAGCUGGGGGAGCUGGGGGGUAGGCUCUGUGCUAAUCUGUGUCCAGCCGGGUGCGGUCCUGGAAGACAGAGUCCGAGGACGCCGGGGUCCAAGUCUAUGGACCAGGCUUGACAGAGGACAGAGAAGUGCUGGCGGUGUUUUCAUGACCUGUUGGAAUCUGGUAACAGCUUUAAUAGUCUCAUUAGGAAUGAGUUACUAUAUGGCCAAUUUAAAAACAAAACCAAGCAGAUUCCCCAGGCCAGUCAUCAGGCCAUGAUUAAAAUCUGUUCCUCACUGAUGAUCAGUCCCAUGAUUUGAAACACCAGUUGAAGUGCUACACGGGAAUUAAUGCAUUUACAAUGUAAAGAAGUACUCAUCCAGGGACGUGAAACUGGCUGAUAAUUGAAUGUUCUACUUCUCAAGUUUAAAGAAAAGAGAAGCGAUGUCUACAAUUUCUAUAAUUGACCUAUUCUAGAUUUUCUGUGUGCAGUACCAAAGGAAAGCCUAUAUGGAUAUCUCAUGGUACCUCAGACUCCGAGACACUGAAGUAUUUCAAAGCUUCUCAGAGAUGCCCAGAGAAAAUCCUUAAUGCAGAACUAAAGGAAAGUUAAUCUGAAUUCCAAGCAUUCCAGAUGUAACAGAAAGAAGGCAUGCUUCUGAAUCAGAGAGUCCUAGGGCUUCCAACAGUAUGCUGAAUGGAAGUAGAAAAAGUGAGUUUUCCAGCUGACCUGAACAAAGGGGAGCUCAUGGACCCCAGACUGAUAGCUGGGAAACCAGCAUAGGACUGACCGAGACCCCCUGAACAUUGGUGUCAGUGAGUAGGCCUGGGCAAUCUAUGAGGCCUCCGGUAGUGGAUCAGUAUUUAUCCCUAGUACACGAAUGGACUUUGGGAGCCCACUCCACAUAGAGCUCUCUCAGCCUAGACACAGGGGGGAGGGCCUAUG